GCAUUUCUACUGGUUUCCGUUUUCUUUAGAUACUAAAUCUCACGGAUGCAUAGACGGAGCGGGUUGUCACUUCUUUGAAAAAGAUCCGAAAUUAGUAUGUGUUGCUGAAGCAGUCGCAUGUCCUGUAACAUGUGGAUGUUGUUGAGUUUGAUAAAUGUUACCGGAAGAUCCUUUCUAAUAAAUCGGUUCGUUUGUACAAACAA